GGGCUGCUGCCGUUGCCUCCCGGCCGGCACCGGCCCCAGCACAGCCACAGCCGUUGGGGCGCGAGCACCUCGGUCACUCGCACACUGCGGCCGGUGCGGCUGCCCCCAGAUAACCACUUCUGUAUUGGAGAUGUGAUAAGGAACCUCUGAGACAAGCAUUAUGUGACUUGCCCUGGAUCAUAUGACUCAUAAGUAUGUAUGCCUUGAUUCAAAUUCAGAUCUUCCUGAUGUAAGUCCUGGUGGUUUUUCCAUCAUACCAGCAACCUGUUCAAUCAUUAUGAAUGGCUGGAAUCGAGAUGAAAAUAAUAUCAGUUUCCAUCAAAUAUGAAGACAACAAAUUUUCCUAUUUUGAAAAAAAGAUUAGGAUUUUUUGGUGAGUUUCUAUUAUAUAAUAAUC